UUUCUAAGAAUGCCAAGAGGUUGGCUUGUAAGUGUGACAAGUUCGAUUUAGGGAGUGGCCUCAUGGAAUGGUGCUGCAUUGGCUGAUGUUGAGCCAGGACUUUUCACGGCUACUUCGUGAAAAGACUGCUAGAUUCCGAUGCCGUUCUUGGUAGUGCAGGGAUUGAUACAUAUUCAAAAAGCGGCUGCAUGAGAGAAACUUGUCAGGCUUUUGAUAGGUUGGAGAAGAGGAAUGAGGUAUCUUGGAGUGCACUGAUUAGAGGGUUUGUGCAAGAGGAACAGGCAGAUGUUGCUAUUAGUGAAAUCUGCAAACAUCAAGCCAGAAAAAUUCAGGCUUGUUAGCCUUCCAAUCCGCUCAGUCAACCAACGUUUUGAUGUCGAUCGAGGUAAAGAGAUUCAUGCUCACAUCAUUGACACCGUUGCUCGACCAAAUAUAGUACGAGAAACUGAGCUGUUUUGUGCGUAUCGUAGAUAAUGGAAGGUUUAGGAGAACACCUGAAAAGAAUGACAUGGAAGUGCCCGAACUCUGCUAUAAAAUGCAGCUUCAUGUUGUAGUGCCAGAUUGUUUUUCUCUGGCCAAAGCACUUUCUGCAAGCACUACCCUUUCAGACCUAAAGAAGGGUAAGCAAAUCCAUGGCUUUAUGAUUAAGAACAUGGUCGAAGAUUACAGAAUUUUUUGUUGUGAGCUUCUUGAUAUGUAUACAGGAUUAGAGAGUCGAGACUCCACAUGCAAGAUAUAUGACUAAGCAACAGAAAAGGCCUUUCAGACAAUGCAAAGGAAGAAAUUGAUAGAAAAUGCUGGUUGAGCCCGAGGUGUCUACCUGCGGAGACUGCUUGCAGCUUGUAGGAUUCACAAGGAGCUUGUAGGAUUCCCGGAGGCAGCUGGAUUAAGAUCGGCAAUGAGAACCAAAUGUCUGAGGCCGGGACCAGAUGCUGCAGCCCCAAGCAGAGGAGAUUUAUGCUAUUCUGAAGUGCUUAUCUUUGCAACACACAGGACCUCAAGGUCGAGGAGGACUACUUGCUUCGACACAAUGAAAAGAUCAAUGACUGGCUCAGGCAUAUGCUUCUCUGAGAGUUCUCCAGCACAAAUAUAGAAGACCAAUUGCCAUACUACAAUAAAACUUGUCUCGUAUACAGCCAACUGCCUCUUAUAAUCAUAAAGGACAAUGAACCGGUUUCAUCAUUUUAAAGAUAGCAGCAUUUUCUUGUA